GUCUUGAUGGGUAUCUCUUUCCCAGGGAAUAUUUUGUCUCUGGAUGAUGUUUGCUUCCUUUCCAUGGAUUGUCCUGUCACUGGGAAAGGAUCAAUGUUAUCAUGUGUUGCCUUCUUCCUCACUCCCUCUUCCCAGGCCACACUACUUUGGAGUUUGUUGUUUUUCCAUAUCUUACACAAACUAUAGCAAUACAUCUUCUUCAAGACCCAGCAUCUGUGUGCUGUGAAGAGAGACGCAUCUACCAUGAUGCUUCACAUCUUGGCUUCCUUCCUGUUCCUCUGACUCAGAAUUCACUCAUUCAGCCAGUAUUCCUCGAAGGUCACUAUGUCCCACACAGUGUACCAAGAACUGGGGAUAGACUGGGUAGGAACAGACACUGUUCCUUCCCUUGUGGAGCUUAGAGUCAAGGGAGAAGAUAGACUUUGCUCAAAUUGCCAUACAAAUAAAUGUGCAAUUAUGGACUCUGAUAAGUGCUAUGAAAGGAAAGCUCUUGAGAAUAUUCAUUCAUUUAGGGGCCAAGGAUGUGCCUCAGUGGUAGAGCGCUUGCCUGGCAUGUGUGAGGCCCUGGGUUCAAUCCCCAGCAUAUUCAGUCUAAGCUUGAUUAUUCACAUCCCCAGCCCAUUUUUAGUUUUCAUUUUGAGACAGAGUCUUGCUAAGUUGCUGAGGCUGACUUUGAACCUGCAAUCCUCCUGCCUCAGCCUCCUGAGUCUCUGGGAUUAUAGGCAUGUGUCACCAUGCCUGGCAGUGACUCAGGAAUUCCCACAAGAGUCCUUCCUCAAGGUUUUCAGUGCUCUCCAGUGGAGCCUGGAUGCCAAUGAGGAUGAGCAAGGUGUCUUCAUCGUCCUUGCUUUGUACACUGUAAUCAG
rnacentral:lncRNA from 1 species